CGGGCAGGCGGAUGUCUCUGGACGCAGGUUCCAAACGUUCGGGGGAGGAAGCGGCCCUGGCCUCAGAGGGCGGCAGAGACCCCAGGGCAGGGCGCCCCCGGUAAUCUCCGCCCGCUUUUGCCCGCAGCGGGGUCGCGGCCGUCAGGGGCACUCAGCGCGCCGUCGGGGUCCAGAACUACCUGGAGGAGGCCGCCGAGCGGCUGAAUUCCGUGGAGCCGGUCAGGUUCACCAUCUCCAGCCGCACGGACGCCGGGGUCCACGCCCUGAGCAACGCGGCGCACCUGGACGUCCAGCGCCGCUCAGGCCGGCCGCCCUUCCCGCCCGAGGUCCUGGCCGAGGCCCUCAACACACAUCUGCGGCACCCGGCCAUCAGGUGAGCCCGCGACCUAAGCAGCCCCUGGGGCUGUGCCUUCCCGACUCCAUCUGUCGCGGGCGGAGGCUGGAGAUCUGGACAGACUUCGUUGUCUGGUCGGAGCUCGAGGGGGAAGGAGAGCCAAUGUGACACCGCGGGCGGGCGGGGUCGUUCCUCCGGUGAGCUUUACCUGCCGCCAUAGGGUCCUGCGGGCCUUCCGAGUGCCCAGCGACUUCCACGCUCGUUACGCAGCCACGUCCCGGACCUACCUGUACCGCCUGGCCACUGGCUGUCACCGGCGUGAUGAGCUGCCGGUGUUUGAACGCAACCUAUGCUGGACUCUCCCGGCAGAGUGAGUGUGGCCCUGACAGCGGGGAAGGGGCGGGCAGGCCGGCCCCACCCUCCUGACGGUCACCCUGGUCCCUGAAGCUGCCUGGAUGUGGUCGCCAUGCAGGAAGCCGCCCAGCACCUCCUCGGCACACAUGACUUCAGCGCCUUCCAGUCCGCUGGCAGCCCGGUGCCGAGCCCCGUGCGAACGCUGCGCCGGGUCUCCGUUUCCCCAGGCCAAGCCAGCCCCUUGGUCACCCCC
rnacentral:sRNA from 1 species